UACAGAGGGGGCAAGCGUUGUUCGGAAUUACUGGGCGUAAAGGGCGCGUAGGCGGCCUUCUAAGUCGAACGUGAAAUCCCCGGGCUCAACCCGGGAACUGCGUCCGAUACUGGAAGGCUUGAAUCCGGGAGAGGGAUGUGGAAUUCCAGGUGUAGCGGUGAAAUGCGUAGAUAUCUGGAAGGAACACCGGUGGCGAAGGCGGGUCUCUGGGCGAAGCAACUGA
rnacentral:rRNA from 1 species